rfam:Triticum aestivum genome assembly, contig: Triticum_aestivum_CS42_TGACv1_scaffold_580313_7BL
UAAUUACUUCCUCCGUCCGAGAAAGUUUGUCCCAAGCUUGUCCGUCAAUUGGAUGUAUCUAGCACUAACUUAGUGCUAGAUACAUCCAUUUGAGGGGCAAGCUUUUUCAGACGGAGGGAAUAAGUA